rnacentral:rRNA from 1 species
UACGGAGGGUGCAAGCGUUAUCCGGAUUUACUGGGGUUAAAGGGUGCGCAGGCGGAUAUGUAAGUCAGUGGUGAAAUCUCUGGGCUUAACCCGGAAAUUGCCAUUGAUACUAUAUAUCUUGAAUGCUGUGGAGGUAAGCGGAAUAUGUCAUGUAGCGGUGAAAUGCUUAGAUAUGACAUAGAACACCUAUUGCGAAGGCAGCUUACUACGCAGAGAUUGACGCUCAUGCACGAAAGCGUGGGGAUCAAACAGG